rnacentral:rRNA from 1 species
GCUAAUCACGGUUGGACAUCGUGAGGUUAGUGCAAUGGCAUAAGCCCGCUUGACUGCGAGAAUGACAAUUCGAGCAGGUGCGAAAGCAGGUCAUAGUGAUCCGGUGGUUCUGAAUGGAAGGGCCAUCGCUCAACGGAUAAAAGGUACUCCGGGGAUAACAGGCUGAUACCGCCCAAGAGUUCAUAUCGACGGCGGUGUUUGGCACCUCGAUGUCGGCUCAUCACAUCCUGGGGCUGAAGUCGGUCCCAAGGGUAUGGCUGUUCGCCAUUUAAAGUGGUACGCGAGCUGGGUUUAGAACGUCGUGAGACAGUUCGGUCCCUAUCUGCCGUGGGCGUUGGAAGAUUGAAGGGGGCUGCUCCUAGUACGAGAGGACCGGAGUGGACGAACCUCUGGUGUUCGGGUUGUGUCGCCAGACGCAUUGCCCGGUAGCUAAGUUCGGAAUCGAUAACCGCUGAAAGCAUCUAAGCGGGAAGCGAGCCCUGAGAUGAGUCUUCCCUGAUACUUUAAGUAUCCUAAAGGGUUGUUCGAGACUAGAACGUUGAUAGGCAGGGUGUGUAAGCGUUGUGAGGCGUUGAGCUAACCUGUACUAAUUGCCCGUGAGGCUUAACCAU